AAGACCAGCUCCAUUGAUCCUCUCUACCAUAUCUGCUUCGGUGGCAUGAUUUUUUCCUACCUUGUUGCUCUUCCGGAGGAGCGCCGCCACCUCGAGCACCAGCAGCAUGCUAAGGAGCACGGCCACUGAUUCAUUGACUGAUCGAUUCGUCGGUCUUUCAGCGAUUCGGUGAACCUCCUGGGAGUUGAUUUUACAAACAUUGAUUUGCUUGAUGUUUUAUUUUUGUGUUUCUUGAUAUGGUAGGCAGGAAGAUACUGUCUUUUCACUGCUUGGUAGCAUGAAGUGAUGAAAUAAAAUACACUUGGCCAUGAGUAUUGAGCAUAAUUGCUUU
rnacentral:misc_RNA from 1 species